rfam:Papio anubis isolate 1X1155 chromosome 10, whole genome shotgun sequence.
CAUGGAGAAAGCUGACUUGGCUGGUGUGGUGCAGAGAAGCCAGCUUGUUUAUGUGCUUAUUCCAUG